UACGAAGGGUGCAAGCGUUACUCGGAAUUACUGGGCGUAAAGCGUGCGUAGGCGGUUUGUUAAGUCUGUCGUGAAAGCCCUGGGCUCAACCUGGGAAUUGCGAUGGAUACUGGCAAGCUAGAGUACGGUAGAGGAUGGUGGAAUUCCCGGUGUAGCGGUGAAAUGCGUAGAGAUCGGGAGGAACACCCGUGGCGAAGGCGACUCUUUGGCCUGUAACUGACGCUGAGGCGCGAAAGCGUGGGGAGCAAACAGG
rnacentral:rRNA from 1 species